GUUCCCUAACUGAAGUGUGCUAAUCUACUGAGUCCUCCACUGAACAUGGAGUCACCAGUGGGGCCGUGUUUCUAGGCAGCUGAGGGAUGACUUUAUAGCAAAAAAAAAUCCCCCGAAAUGUAAGACUUGGCUUGAAAGAGUGAAAGAUAUCUGCCAAUUUGAAGAAUGCACAACUCUGCUUAAAAGCCGUUCUACUCGUCACAGGAGGUAUGGCGGACCUGUAAAAUCUACCUAUGUAAUAAUGAGGAUGGGAUUGGAGAAGACAUGGGAAAAGUGGGGCCUGUGCCUCCGGAGUAAUAACCUGAGCGUUUACGUGCCAUCCUACUUCAAUCCUAACCCUCUUGACCUGUAUGCCCACCUGUUAUUCCCUUUCCUACUCCCUACCACAGGGUUUUGUACCUCCUCUCUUUUGCAAUUCUUCAUUUCUCAUUAUAAGUUGCAUUUUA